rnacentral:rRNA from 1 species
GACAGAGGGUGCAAACGUUGUUCGGAUUUACUGGGUGUAAAGCGCGUGUAGGCGGCUUUACAAGUCGGAUGUGAAAGCCCACGGCUCAACCGUGGAAGUGCAUCCGAAACUGUAUCGCUGGAGUCCCGGAGAGGAAGGUGGAAUGCUAGGUGUAGAGGUGAAAUUCGUAGAUAUCAAGCAGAACACCUGCGGCGAAGGCGGCCUUCUGGACGGUGACUGACGCUGAGACGCGAGAGCGUGGGGAGCAAACAGG